rnacentral:rRNA from 1 species
CCUACGGGAGGCAGCAGUGAGGAAUAUUGGUCAAUGGGCGGAAGUCUGAACCAGCCAAGUCGCGUGAAGGAUGAAUGCCCUAUGGGUUGUAAACUUCUUUUAUAUGGGAAUAAAAUGUUCCACGUGUGGGAUUUUUUAUUUACCCUAUGAAUAAAGAUCGGCUAACUCCGUUCCAGCAGUCGCGGUAAUACGGAGGGGCCGGGCGUUAUCCGGAUUUGUUGGGUUUAAAGGGAGCGUAGGUGGAUUGUUAAGUCAGUUGUGAAAGUGUGGGGCUCAACCGUAAAAUUGCAGUUGAAACUGGCAGUCUUGAGUACAGUAGAGGUGGGUGGAAUUCGUGGUGUAGCGGUGAAAUGCGUAGAUAUCACGAAGAACUCCGAUUGCGAAGGCAGCUCAUUGGAAUGCAACUGACACUGAGGCGCGAAAGUGUGGGUAUCAAACAGGAUUAGAUACCCGAGUAGUC